rnacentral:piRNA from 1 species
CNGGUUGCUAGUUGCCCUUUUCUGGGAGA